AAAUUGAAGAGUUUGAUCAUGGCUCAGAUUGAACGCUGGCGGCAGGCCUAACACAUGCAAGUCGAACGGUAGCACAGAGAGCUUGCUCUCGGGUGACGAGUGGCGGACGGGUGAGUAAUGUCUGGGAAACUGCCUGAUGGAGGGGGAUAACUACUGGAAACGGUAGCUAAUACCGCAUAACGUCGCAAGACCAAAGAGGGGGACCUUCGGGCCUCUUGCCAUCAGAUGUGCCCAGAUGGGAUUAGCUAGUAGGUGGGGUAACGGCUCACCUAGGCGACGAUCCCUAGCUGGUCUGAGAGGAUGACCAG
rnacentral:rRNA from 1 species